GGGACACACGCCUAACACUCCCAUGAGGCAAUGCUUCUUCUGCUCUUGAGAACACUGAACAACAGAGGGCUUGAAUCUUGGGCCUCAGACGUGAAGUGAUUCCCAAAGAUAGCUCUUUCCCUGCGAGAAUUUAGGGAAUUAAUUCAUUUCUCUGAGCCUCCUGUUGCUGAGCUAUGGCGGGGUUGGGGAGGGUGUGCCACCUUAUAGGUAAAGACAUUUGAAAUAUGAGAGAGUAGCCUAGGGUGAGUUCCAGGGUAGCCAGGGCUACACAGAGAAACCCUGUCUCGAAAAAACCAAAAAGAAAGAAAGAAAUAGGAAAGACUAAUUCAUGUAGAAUGCCUGGCAGAUAGAUAAUGUGUUUUCCUGUUCCUCUGCAUGGAAGCGGGCAACUGCAGUUUCUCUUUAGGACGGUAGAGGUCGCCCUUGCAUAAAUUCUGCUUACGGAGUUGGAGGACACAGGCUCUCACCUUCGGGCUGAGACAAGUCCACCGGCCACUACCCCAGCCCCGGCCGCGAAGCAAGACUAACUUUGUAGUCUCAAGCGCCUCUGUGAUCUACAGCUGAGAACGAGAUGUUGUGGGUCGGUUUUGAAGUUCUGAGACAGUGUUAUGCUGCAGCCCAGGCUGACCCUGAUAUGGAGGUCCUACUGCGCCAGUCUCAGUCAGUCCCAGAGUGUUGGGAUUGCAGUUGGACCUCACCACGCCUGGCUGAGAUUACAGUUUGUGUCACUUUCCUCACUGUCUUGUCUGUCCCCCACCCCCACCCCAAUAAUUCAGGUUCACAAGAAUCCCCAUCUAAGGCUCUGCCUCUAGCGAGGCCACCCAGGCCCUAAAUCCCUUCAUUCUUUUGUUUUUCCUUUUUAAAAAUGUAUUCUUCUUUCAUGUAGUACAUCCCAACACAAUUCCCUUCUCCCCCCUCCUGCCAGUCUCCCCCUUUCCCAUUCCUCCAAAUUUACCCCCACCUUCGGAAUUCUUUAUUUCACACACAGUCCAGGAAAUCCUGUGGCUCCUGAGGUUGACAGAAGGUGGGAAGAGGUAAGUCAGCAUGGGUAUGAGGGAUGCCAACCCUGGACCAUCAGGACCUCUCUCUCCCUCCUCUGUUGCUCUGAAAGGCGGGACAGCCAAGUUAUAAACCCAUACAAGAGAUGGGGGAUUGGGAAAACAAAUGACUCUAACCUUCUGAAAGCAUAAGCUGUCAAACUAAAUACUUCCGUUUAUAAGUUGUCU
rnacentral:lncRNA from 1 species